UGCCUAAUGGCCAAGUGGCUAAGGCUGUGGCGCUGAGUUCCACAGGUUUCUCGGGUUCGAAUCCCGGUGGUAU